rnacentral:rRNA from 1 species
AUUGAACGCUGGCGGCAGGCUUAACACAUGCAAGUCGAGCGGGGUGAUGGUGCUUGCACUAUCACUUAGCGGCGGACGGGUGAGUAAUGCUUAGGAAUCUGCCUAUUAGUGGGGGACAACAUCUCGAAAGGGAUGCUAAUACCGCAUACGUCCUACGGGAGAAAGCAGGGGAUCACUUGUGACCUUGCGCUAAUAGAUGAGCCUAAGUCGGAUUAGCUAGUUGGUGGGGUAAAGGCCUACCAAGGCGACGAUCUGUAGCGGGUCUGAGAGGAUGGUCCGCCAAACUGGGACUGAGACAAGGUCCCGACUCCUACGGGAGGCAGGAGUGGGGGAUAUUGGACAAUGGGGGGAACCCUGAUCCAGCCAUGCCGCGUGUGUGAAGAAGGCCUUAUGGUUGUAAAGCACUUUAAGCAAGGAGGAGGCUCUUUUGGUUAAUACCCAAGAUGAGUGGACGUUACUCGCAGAAUAAGCACCGGCUAACUCUGUGCCAGCCGCCGCGGUAA